rnacentral:rRNA from 1 species
GAUGAACGCUAGCUACAGGCUUAACACAUGCAAGUCGAGGGGUAACGAGAGGAAAGCUUGCUUUCCUUGUCGACGACCGGCGCACGGGUGAGUAACGCGUAUCCAACCUGCCCCCAACUAGGGAAUAACCUUGCGAAAGUAAGACUAAUACCCUAUAAUUUCCUCAGAUGUCAUCUGACGAGGAAUAAAGAUUUAUCGGUUGUGGAUGGGGAUGCGUCUGAUUAGCUUGUUGGCGGGGUAACGGCCCACCAAGGCAACGAUCAGUAGGGGUUCUGAGAGGAAGAUCACCCACAUUGGAACUGAGACACGGUCCAAACUCCUACGGGAGGCAGCAGUGAGGAAUAUUGGUCAAUGGGCGGAAGCCUGAACCAGCCAAGUAGCGUGCAGGAUGACGGCCCUAUGGGUUGUAAACUGCUUUUAUACAGGAAUAAAGUUAGCCACGUGUGGUUAUUUGUAGGUACUGUAUGAAUAAGGACCGGCUAAUUCCGUGCCAGCAGCCGCGGUAA